rnacentral:rRNA from 1 species
UACGUAGGGUGCGAGCGUUGUCCGGAAUUAUUGGGCGUAAAGAGCUCGUAGGCGGUUUGUCACGUCUGCUGUGAAAUCCCGAGGCUCAACCUCGGGCCUGCAGUGGGUACGGGCAGACUGGAGUGCGGUAGGGGAGAAUGGAAUUCCUGGUGUAGCGGUGAAAUGCGCAGAUAUCAGGAGGAACACCGACGGCGAAGGCAGCUUGCUGGGCCGACACUGACGCUGAGGCGCGAAAGCCAGGGGAGCAAACGGG